UACAGAGGGGGCAAGCGUUGUUCGGAAUUACUGGGCGUAAAGGGCGCGUAGGCGGCCUGUUAAGUCGAACGUGAAAUCCCUGGGCUCAACCCAGGAACUGCGUCCGAUACUGGCAGGCUUGAAUCCGGGAGAGGGAUGUGGAAUUCCAGGUGUAGUGGUGAAAUGCGUAGAUAUCGGGAGGAAGACCAGUGGCGAAGGCGGGUCUCUGGACAGUUCCGUGACGCUGAGGCACGAAGGCCAGGGGAGCGAAACGGG
rnacentral:rRNA from 1 species